GUGCUCACUUCAGCAGCAUAUACACUAACACUGAAAUGAUAAGAGAAGAUGAGCAUGGACCAUGUGCAAGGAUGACAUGGUGCUGUAGCUAUCACUCUUUAU